UGGAAUGAGAACCACACUUACACUACGGAGCUUGUCGAACGCACCUGGACGUCAGCCGAGUGCAAGGUGCAGGGUCUACUCCGAGGGCAAGGCGCCAUGGCUCGCUGCACCACUAAAUGCAGCAGCAAUCGUCCACGUACUAUCUUGUGUGGAUUCUGUGCUCCGUAUCGCCUCCUACCAGGCCUUUUUAGCUCUUCAUCAGAAGCCCUGUGCAGGUUGGCUCAGGCUUCUUA